GAAAAUACAAAAAGCCUGGGAACUUCAAAUUUUGAGGAUUCCAAGUUGAACUGCUCCAAUUGGUCAACAAUCUGUGUGCAUUUUUCAAAACGGGGUUGACUUGAAGAGAACGAGUGCAAGCUAAGAUAGUUCAUGUGAUCCGAUGUUUGGCAAAAUUGCGAGUAUUUGAUCGUUUGCAUGACAUAAUUAGACACUUUUUACCAAAAGGUGAGCAAUUAGAUCUUCAUAAAAUGACUUUUUUUGGUCAACUUAAAGUAAAAUAUUCUUAUGAUUAAUUAUUUCUUUAUUUCUUAUUUGGAAUUAUGGAGUAGUUCCUAUUGUUGUAAUCUUUAAGGAUAGAUAAAAAUAUAUCGAUAUUUUAUCCUUGAAUGAAUAAUUUUAAAAUAUAGUGGAAUGUUUCUUCCAGUUUCCCGCUGAUAAGCUAGAGGGUCUAUAAAAGCUUGACGAAAAAGUAAAGUUUUGAACUUUACCAAGGUUUAUCAAUGAUGCGUAUGUACCAUGCUUAUUCAGAUCAUGUUAACAAUAGCAAGUAAACAUAAUUCUUCCCUUUAAAUACACAUUCAAAUUUUGGUGGAUCUUCUGACUAUAUGUGAAGAAAUUACCAACCUUUUGAGUGGAUCUCUUUGAUAGAAAAAAAUACUUUUGCACAAGUUCAUGUAUGUGUAUAUUAUAAUUGCCUGGUCUAGGACUAUGAUAAAUAUCCUUUGCUCAUAAAGUCUUGGAUAUGCACCAUGCUAGAAGAUUUCUUCUUAGUGAUCUAGAUCGACCCAGCAAAUUAAAGUAUUUAUAGACUUAGAGAACCUAUCAUGGAU